rnacentral:rRNA from 1 species
UUUAAAUGGCCGCAGUAUACUAACUGUGCAAAGGUAGCAUAAUCAUUAGUUUUUUAAUUGAAAGCUGGUAUGAAUGGUUGGACGAGAUAUUAACUGUUUCAUAAAAAUUUACAAUAGAAUUUUAUUUUUUAGUUAAAAAGCUAAAAUUAUUUUAAAAGACGAGAAGACCCUAUAAAUCUUUAUAUUUAUAUUAUUAUUAUUUUAUAGAUAAUUUUUGUAAUAAUAAUUUUUAAUAUUUUAUUGGGGUGAUAUUAAAAUUUAAUAAACUUUUAAUUAAUAUUUUCAUUAAUUUAUGAUUUAUUGAUCCAUUAUUAAUGAUUAAAAAAUUAAGUUACUUUAGGGAUAACAGCGUAAUUUUUUUGGAGAGUUCAUAUCGAUAAAAAAGAUUGCGACCUCGAUGUUGGAUUAAGAUAUAAUUUUAGGUGUAGUAGCUUAAACUUUAAGUCUGUUCGACUUUUAAUUUCUUAC